GUAAUAAUAGUAUAAGUAAGUAUUUCUGUCUUCCAAACAGAGGGUUCAAGGGUGGAUUAUUACA
rnacentral:tRNA from 1 species